rnacentral:rRNA from 1 species
GGCCUGGCUGGCCGGUCCGCCUCACCGCGUGUACUGGUCUGGCCGGGCCUUUCCUUCUGGAGAACCUCAUGCCCUUCAUUGGGUGUGUUGGGGAACCAGGACUUUUACUUUGAAAAAAUUAGAGUGUUCAAAGCAGGCUUACGUCUGAAUACAUUAGCAUGGAAUAAUAAAAUAGGACGG